UCAUAUGCUUGUCUCAAAGAUUAAGCCAUGCAUGUGUCAGUACAGGCCGUUCUAAGGCUAAACCGCGAAUGGCUCAUUAAAUCAGUUAUGGUUCAUUUGAUCUCAAUCCCCCAUUACUUGGAUAACCCUGGUAAUUCUAGAGCUAAUACGUGAAACAAAAACUCCGACUGGAAGGGAGGAGUGCUUUUAUUAGAUGAAAACCAAUCGGGCCUCGGUCCGCCAUACGCAAAUUGUGAUGAUUCUGAAUAACUUUGUGCUGAGAGCACGGUCUCCGCACCGGCUCUGUAUCUUUCGAGUUUCUGCCUUAUCAUGCUGUGGAUUGUAGGCUAUGCGCCUACUGUGGCUGUUACGGGUGACGGAGAAUCAGGGUUCGAUUCCGGAGAGGGAGCCUGAGAAACGGCUACCACAUCCAAGGAAGGCAGCAGGCACGCAAAUUACCCAAUCUCAGAUCUGGGAGGUAGUGACGAAAAAUAACAAUGCGGGACUCUUCCGAGUCUGCGUAAUUGGAAUGAGCACACUUUAAAUCCUUUAGCAACAACCAAUUGGAGGGCAAGUCUGGUGCCAGCAGCCGCGGUAAUUCCAGCUCCAAUAGCGUAUAUUAAAGUUGUUGCGGUUAAAAAGCUCGUAGUUCGAGCUCAGUCCGGACUGGCUGGGGAUGUACCGCCCGGUGCUUCCCCGUCAGGCUCCGAACAGCUUUUAUGACUAAAAGCCAAGUCGGUUUCGCCGGGGUGCUCUUCACCGAGUGUCCCGCGCGGCCGGCCAGUUUACCUUGAAUAAAUGAGAGUGCUCAAAGCAGGCUACUCUUAAAAAUAAAGCCCGAAUGUUACCUGCAUGGAAUGAUGGAAGAUGAUCUCGGUUCCAUUUUAUUGGUUCUGGGAAUCCGAGUUAAUGAUAAACAGGGACUGUCGGGGGCAUCCGUACUACGACGCGAGAGGUGAAAUUCUAUGACCGUCGUAGGACGAACAACAGCGAAAGCAUUUGCCAAGAAUGUCUUCGUUGAUCAAGAACGAAAGUUAGAGGAUCGAAGGCGAUCAGAUACCGCCCUAGUUCUAACCCUAAACGAUGCUAACUAGCAAUCCGCCGUCGUUAUUCCCAUGACGUGGCGGGACGCCCCCGGGAAACCUCAAGUCUUUGAGUUCCGGGGGUAGUAUGGUUGCAAAAUUGAAACUUAAAGGAAUUGACGGAAGGGCACCACCAGGAGUGGAGCCUGCGGCUUAAUUUGACUCAACACGGGAAAUCUCACCAGGGCCGGACACCAGAAGGAUUGACAGAUUAAGAGCUCUUUCUUGAUUUGGUGGGUGGUGGUGCAUGGCGUCUAUG
rnacentral:rRNA from 1 species